rnacentral:tRNA from 1 species
GGAUUGUGGCUUAGUGGUAGAUCUCUUACCUAGCACGUGCGAGGCCCUGGGUUCGAUCCUUAGCACCA